CUACCCUGACGGAGAUACUCCUUCAAGGGAUGAUGUUGACCAGCUUUUAGGAGAUAUUGUCCUCUGCUGGAGUUAGGAGCUUUUGAAAGUCCCUAUCAGCAACCAGCUAAUUGGAAGACAACUGUGCCUACAGACACCCUGUCGUGGUUUGAAGGGAAGUGAGUUUUUUUUAGAAGUAGUGGUCAAACCAAUCAGUCCUUAGGUCUGAGUAUUGGCACCUUUGUUGGCCACUAAGAGGUUGGACACGCCUCUGAGGACACGAGGGGUUAAAAGCCGGAUUUCCCAGCAGGACUCCCUCUUUCCCUGCUCUGCUUUCGGAGAGGGAGCGUCUUCUCCUCUCCCCUGCCCAGGCCUGGCUAGGCUGGGUGGGGGAGGGGAGCAAGGUGGGCCUGGCUGAGCAAGGCAGAAGAGAGUUAUCCCUGGAUGCUGAAUUCUCAUAGUUGGUGGUUUUAGAAGAGAGAGGACAGCCUGGGACCGAGAGGGUAAUGUGAGAUGGAAAGAAGCCCCUUCGAUUGCCGGAAUGAAGAGGAGUGGCUUAUGAGGCUGGACUUUUCUUGCAUAAUGAUAGCCAUAGACGGACCCUGGACCCUCCUGACUAUAAAUUAGACUGUGUUUGGGUGGAUGUUUUUGGCUCAAACCCAGAGAUGUUCUGGCCUGCUUCUUGGAGCCCCUGGCCCCAGGGGUAAAUGGGGGGGGACCUGAGUCCCAAAAUGAGAAGAUGGCUGGUUUUUGGUACUUGGCCAAAACAUCCUUAAAAAGAGCCCUGUUGCAGUUCAGGUCCAUGGACGGCAGUGAGAGUGCUGGACAUGGAAAGGAGGGGGUCACCCUGGCAGACUCUUCGAGGCAGUGCCAUGGGUGACGUGGGAACACGGGAUGGUGGACCUGUGUUUCCUGUGGGGGGGGGUGGUCUGUGGUGCGAGAGAGACUCCUCUCGUCCUGGAUGGAAUGUGGAUUGUCUGAAUUUUAAAGGAUGAUGAUUUGGAUUAGGAACCCAGGGUUGUUGAGGGAUUAAGCAAGUAGAUGAAGGUAAUGUGCUGGAGUCAACUGAGUGAGCAUGUAUGGAAUGGAAAUUGGGGGGAGGAGAAGCAGUGUUUUUGGGAGGUUUUCUCUUCUGCUUUUGGGUGGCUGGGUUUUUCUUUCCUUUUCUAUUGUCCAUUGUUAUGUAGUAUAAUAAAUUGUCUGUCUGUUUCAAGUA